UACGGGGGGGGCAAGCGUUGUUCGGAUUUACUGGGCGUAAAGGGCGCGUAGGCGGUCGUGACAGGUCACUUGGGAAAUCUCCGGGCUUAACUCGGUAGCGGCCAAGUGAUACUGUCGGACUAGAGUGCGGAAGGGGCAACUGGAAUUCCCGGUGUAGCGGUGAAAUGCGUAGAUAUCGAGAGGAACACCUGCGGCGAAGGCGGGUUGCUGGGCCGACACUGACGCUGAGGCGCGAAAGCCAGGGGAGCGAACGGG
rnacentral:rRNA from 1 species